UAUCAUUGCUUCUCAUGGCAGGGUCCCUGCUUGGAGGGGCCACAAGUUACAUGAGCCCAUCCUAUGGCCACAGUCAUGACCGAGAAAAACAACAUUCAAAAAACCAGUCUUGUUAAGUAAGAAGAACUAUUGAGCAUGUACCAAAUGUCACUUCCGGGGCAACUAUAAGGUACUAUUCACCCAUCUUUUUCUUAUUUUGUAGGUCUCUAAAAUACUAUUAGAAUUGUUCCUGAAGUCAUUUUGGUCUUCCAGGUUCUUAAUUAAAAUACGAAUGUCUUGGCUAAUAUUUCCCAAAAUGUGUUCUGCAGAAUUCUGACCCCUCAAGAGCCUCCAGCCCCACCCCCCAAAUGAGAGGGAGAUAAAUAAAUAGGGAGCCACAGGAUGCUCUAGUCUCAUCUUGGAGAUUCACAAGGCGCGGCAGCACACUAAAGGCUCUGAGAAGCUGUGCAGUAAAGAAACCUACUUAUCCUGGGGCCGGUAGAGAUAAAGGCCUGUCCAAGUCCUGUGUGCCUGUGACAGAAGAGAAAAACAUAUGAGACAAAGGGCAGAAGAUGAGAGAAAAGGGGGAAAGAUGUUCAGCUAAUCAACAACAAGUUUCUUUGAUCGUUAGUUGAUUAAAAGAAGCAAUGUUUCUAUGCAGACGCAAAAGUUGUAUUCCACGUUGGAAAGCUUGUGUGGGUCAUCUUUGCUUGCUGGGAAAAAGAAUCCUUAUGAAGAGAAGUUGCUUCCUGGAGGGAGAAGAAGGCAACAAUUGCCACCCGAAAUGACCCCGUGUCCUGGAAGGGUGGCUACAAUGGGCAACUGGGAGGCUGCUGAGUCGUUGGGCAGAGGAGGUUUGGGUGACUGCAGAAGGGAAGAUCCCUUAAAUGGGGUGACAUUCGUGGCCCUUCUGUAAAGCUUUCACAA